CUGUGCUCCAAUGGGGCCAAAGGUACAAUAUUGCACUUGGGGUCGCAAAAGGACUGGCCUAUCUCCACCAUGAGUGUCUUGAAUGGAUUGUGCACUGUGAUGUCAAGCCAGAGAACAUAUUGUUAGAUAGAGACUUUCAGCCCAAGAUUGCAGAUUUUGGACUGAUGAAGCUGCAGCAGAGAGGAUCAAGCGCACAAAUGUUGUCAAAAGUGCAUGGGACUAGAGGCUACAUUGCGCCAGAAUGGGCUCUAAAUCUUCCCAUCAAUGGUAAGGCCGAUGUUUACAGCUAUGGCGUGGUGCUUAUUGAGUUAGUGAAGGGGGUUCGCCUUUCCAGAUGGGUGGUUGAGGGCGAAGAGGAGGUUGAAAUGGCUGAUAUAUGCUCUAUUGAAAUCCUUAAAGAAAAACUAGCCAGCGAAGACCAGUCAUGGCUUCUGGAGUUUGUUGACCACAGGCUGGAUGGAGACUUCAACCAUUCAGAAGCACUCAUGAUGCUUAAGAUAGCAGUAUCAUGUGUGGAAGAAGAGAGAAGCAGAAGACCGAACAUGAGCCAUGUGGUCGAAACUCUGCUUUCACUUGUGGAAUAAUGUUCAAUACUGUGUUUACUACCGCUACAUCUAGCUGGAUUGUGUAAGAAUAAUAUUCUGUGAUGUUGCACAGAAAAAUUGCCCUUAUCCCUGCCAUAUGCGGCAACUCUACGGAUUUGUAUCAAUACCUAACUACUCUACAGAGUACACUAUGUAGUAGUAUUUCACUUGUCUAUCUGUUUGGAAGCUUAGGUCUAUAUAACACAUCUAUAUACUUCCAGCAGUUUUGAAGAAGAAAUCAUUAAUCCUUAGGAGCUAAAUAAAUCGGUAGCAAACAGAAAUAUAUCGAAUCUAACAUGAAUUGUAGGUUGGAUCAAUCUAGCCAGUUUAUUACUUGAUUUAUUGAGCAGCCAACAGAUUAAUGAACCCAAUGUACUAACAGAAAACUCACCGCUAUACAAACUAUAUAUAUGCUGCAAAAGAAUGAACAAUGACAAGAGCUGUUAAACAAUCAGCAGUUCACCAGUGCUAGGCCGGCGUCCGCCAAUCACUCAUCGUUGCUGCCAAUGCGCCCCGCAGCGCCACCGCCCGCUUAUCAACCUUGAGCCCUUCCUCCGCGG
rnacentral:lncRNA from 1 species